AUUGAACGCUGGCGGCAGGCUUAACACAUGCAAGUCGAGCGGAGAGAGGUAGCUUGCUACUGAUCUUAGCGGCGGACGGGUGAGUAAUGCUUAGGAAUCUGCCUAUUAGUGGGGGACAACAUUUCGAAAGGAAUGCUAAUACCGCAUACGUCCUACGGGAGAAAGCAGGGGGUCUUCGGACCUUGCGCUAAUAGAUGAGCCUAAGUCGGAUUAGCUAGUUGGUGGGGUAAAGGCCUACCAAGGCGACGAUCUGUAGCGGGUCUGAGAGGAUGGUCCGCCACACUGGGACUGAGACACGGCCCAGACUCCUACGGGAGGCAGCAGUGGGGAAUAUUGGACAAUGGGCGGAAGCCUGAUCCAGCCAUGCCGCGUGUGUGAAGAAGGCCUUAUGGUUGUAAAGCACUUUAAGCGAGGAGGAGGCUACUUUAGUUAAUACCUAGAGAUAGUGGACGUUACUCGCAGAAUAAGCACCGGCUAACUCUGUGCCAGCCGCCGCAGUAAGAC
rnacentral:rRNA from 1 species